rnacentral:lncRNA from 1 species
UUUAUUAUUUUUGAUUUUUCUUUAGUCUCUUUAGUAUCCUUUUCUUUCUUCUUUGGACAUUCAUUAGCAUAAUGUCCCUCUACAUUACAUAUCCAACAUACACAUUUCUUUUUUCCUUUUGGGCAAUAUUUUCUAGGUGUUUGUCUCUUUUUCCUAAAAUACUUUUUGUUAGUAUUUUUAUAGGCUCUUUUCUUUGGAUAGGUUCUUCUUAACCUUGGUUUUCUUCUAGGAUUUUUCCUACUUCUUUUACUACAACCAUAAUUUCCGGGUAGGUCUAAUUCUAAUUUAUUACAGCAAGGUGAAGUACUACCUAGAUUUAAGUUUUUAAUUUUCUCCCUUUCUAGACACUGAUUUCUUAUUUCUUCAUAUAAAAUUUGUAUUACUCCUGCUAAGGUAUCACCUAAUUCUUCUGGUCGAGAUUUCCAUUUUUCUCUUAUACUUGUACUAAGUGGAUAAGGUCAUUUGGAUAUAAAUAUAUUUAUAUAUAUAUUAAUUGAGUUUUCCUAUCU